rnacentral:rRNA from 1 species
UACGUAGGUGGCAAGCGUUGUUCGGAAUUACUGGGCGUAAAGCGCACGUAGGCGGAUUUGUAAGUCAGGGGUGAAAUCCCGGGGCUCAACCUCGGAACUGCCUUUGAUACUGCAAAUCUCGAGUCCGGAAGAGGUGAGUGGAAUUCCUAGUGUAGAGGUGAAAUUCGUAGAUAUUAGGAAGAACACCAGUGGCGAAGGCGGCUCACUGGUCCGGUACUGACGCUGAGGUGCGAAAGCGUGGGGAGCAAACAGG